rnacentral:rRNA from 1 species
AUACGUAGGGGGCGAGCGUUGUCCGGAAUGAUUGGGCGUAAAGGGCGUGUAGGCGGCCGAUUAAGUCUGGAGUGAAAGUCCUGCUUUCAAGGUGGGAAUUGCUUUGGAGACUGGUUGGCUUGAGUGCGGAAGAGGUAAGUGGAAUUCCCAGUGUAGCGGUGAAAUGCGUAGAGAUUGGGAGGAACACCAGUGGCGAAGGCGACUUACUGGGCCGUACCUGACGCUGAGGCGCGAAAGCGUGGGGAGCGAACAGGAUUAGAUACCCUGGUAGUCCACGCUGUAAACGAUGAAUGCUAGGUGUAGGGGGUAUCGACCCCUCCUGUGCCGGAGUAAACGCAAUAAGCAUUCCGCCUGGUGAGUACGGCCGCAAGGUUGAAACUCAAAUGAAUUGACGGGG